rnacentral:other from 1 species
GGGUUGCUGUGGGAUGCGUUAAGCGUGCAUUUCCCUGGGGCCGAUAAGAUCCUUAAGGGAGCCGUUUCUGCCAUAACCCGUGGGUUAGGCAUAUGGCGCCCACCUGCAUACGCGGGCCACACGAGGACAAAUAUCGCUGACGGUCAUUGCGGCACCCUC